rnacentral:rRNA from 1 species
UACGGAGGGGGCUAGCGUUGUUCGGAAUUACUGGGCGUAAAGCGCACGUAGGCGGCUUUGUAAGUUAGAGGUGGAAAGCCCAGGGCUUAACCCUGGAAUUGCCUUUGAAGACUGCAUCGCUAGAAUCGUGGAGAGGUGGGUGGAAUUCCGAGUGUAGAGGUGAAAUUCGUAGAUAUUCGGAAGAACACCAGUGGCGAAGGCGACUCACUGGACACGUAUUGACGCUGAGGUGACGAAAGGCGUGGGGAGCAAACAGG